UAGGGAAUCUUCGGCAAUGGACGAAAGUCUGACCGAGCAACGCCGCGUGAGUGAAGAAGGUUUUCGGAUCGUAAAACUCUGUUGUUAGAGAAGAACAAGGACGUUAGUAACUGAACGUCCCCUGACGGUAUCUAACCAGAAAGCCACGGCUAACUACGUGCCAGCAGCCGCGGUAAUACGUAGGUGGCAAGCGUUGUCCGGAUUUAUUGGGCGUAAAGCGAGCGCAGGCGGUUUCUUAAGUCUGAUGUGAAAGCCCCCGGCUCAACCGGGGAGGGUCAUUGGAAACUGGGAGACUUGAGUGCAGAGGAGGAGAGUGGAAUUCCAUGUGUAGCGGUGAAAUGCGUAGAUAUAUGGAGGAACACCAGUGGCGAAGGCGGCUCUCUGGUCUGUAACUGACGCUGGGGCUCGAAAGCGUGGGGAGCAAACAGG
rnacentral:rRNA from 1 species